ACUGUGGAGUGUAGAAGACCUGUGAGUAGAGAUAACCUUGGUUACUCAAAAACAUACACGUUGAAACAGUAA
rnacentral:sRNA from 12 species